UUUGAUGUAAUUUUGAACAAA
ensembl:piRNA 21ur-11894 ncRNA